rnacentral:ribozyme from 1 species
CAAAAAGAAAAAAAAAUGACGGCGGGAAGAAUAUACAUUGUUUUUUUUUUUAAUAACUAUACAUUAUUGCGUAUUAUUCUUCUUGAUUUUU